ensembl:lncRNA
GGCAUUUUCAGAGGAAGCCACAGCCCGAAUGUGUGGAAUGUGCGAUUCCGGCUCCCACGGAGGCCCAUGCAGGGGCGGGAGCGCACAGCCGGCGCCUGGGGGCAGCGGUUAACCGAGGACUGCAGGAUUGCUUCGCUGAGCCAGGUCCCUCCAGCCUCCUCUUCCAGAAGUGCAUUGGGUGAUGGCAGGGGAACAGCUUUUCUUUGCACCCAGGAGCUCUGCCCCUUCUGUUCAGCUUGACGGCCGUGAGACUUGCCAAUGGCUACCAGUUGAACAUGGAAGAAUGAUGGCCUUUGAAGAAAAGACGCUCUGGCCUCCACUGUGAUGAAGACAGUGCUUUCUGAGAUGAGCUGACUUACGCAUUUAGGAGUCCAAGGUGCUCGUCUGCAGAAGCCGGCUCACCCUCUGCUGCCUUUCCUGACCUGAAACCUGCCACCCGGGGAUGCAAAGGAGGGAUGCGGGGAGAGAGAGACAACCCCUAGUGGGGGAGGCUGCAGAGGCUCCACACACAAGGGCACACACUCCCGCUUUCGGAGAUGCUGAACCCACACCCUUGGCUCCAGGGGCUCAGGACCUCCUGUCCAGGCUGCGUUCCUCAGUUUCAGGGCUGGGUAUCUGUGCACUGCUCCCUUAGGAAGCAGUUAUGUGGCAGAUGUAAGAACAAACACACAAACACAGCACCAACUCAGGCAAAUGACUUUCAAAACAGAAAUGAAUCUAUAUAAUUAUGAUAUAUUAGAAAAGUACUUGUAGGAAAAAUUUUUUUAACCGAAAAGCACUUAAUAGAACAGCACUUGUAAGCAACUCUUCGAAUCACUGCCAAUGGUUCCAUUAAGAUAGUGAGAUAUGGGUAAAUUAUCUUUUUUCUUUUACUUACACAGUUUCUAUAAUGAACGUGGAGUAAUUUGAUAGUAAUCAAGGAAAAAUGAGUUUCCUCGUAAUGUUCAGAACAACAAAACAGGCGACUCUCCGUAUGGACUGGCCCGUGCGGAGCAGGAGAGGCUCCCAGCUCCGGCUUCCUCAGCCCUGCAGCCUUUCCAGGGCUGGUUGUCCCAGCACAUGGGAGUGAUUACAAGGACGUGUGUCUCUCUGAACCUUAGUGUAACGGCAGCCGAUGUGACAGUCGGGGUGUCAGCCUUAAUCCACUGUCUUCAUAAAUUCUGAGUGACGUGAGAUUAGCCUAACAACGGUUCCGUCAAAAGGAAUAUUUUGAAUUUUUAAGCAGCAGUCUGAGUUCUUUCCCUCAAUUCCUCCUUGGUUUAAAAUGAGAUUGGAUUAACAAUUCAGUUAAAUUUCAGCAUUUAAGUGCCAGUUGAUUCAGAAGCUAUAAUUUGACCAGCCUGAAGCUUUUCUUUGCUGAAUAUAUUCUUUAUGCAAUGAAACUGUGAAAUCAGUGCAGUGGCUCCACAUCAAUGACAGUCAAAGAGUAAAUGCUUUAAAUAGAAUAAACUAUUCAAAAUAAUUUUUCAGAGCAGUCAAAUGCUGUAAAAGUACUCAUCUCAUGUAUUUUAUAUAAACACACACACAUACACAUCUGUAUGCCUAUAAUUUUGUUAUAUAUUUGGACUUAUGUAUACAUAAAAUAAUUAUAUAUAUAAAAAUAUGGUAUGACGUAUAUUUGAAACUUGCUGGAGGCAUCUGGUAGGUUAGAUAUCACUCCUAAUGGAUAUAUAAUAUAAUAUGAUAUGAUAUAAAUAUUAUAGUUUGGAUUAGAUAUCACUCCUAAUAGUUUUCUUAAGUCAUAAAAUGUUAAAAUCAGGUUAAAAUUAGAAGGGAUGUUGGAGAUGAUCUCAUUUGUCAGAGGCAUUUUUACUUUUUUGGAUGGACCGGAAUUCAGGAACACACACCUGCGGGAUGGUCAGCAACUCCAUCGUAGGCAUGUCUUACUUUGUCGUGACAACGGUGAUCUCUAAGGGGCAGGAAUAGGAACUUACAGGGGAGGACCCCACCAUUAACUCCCCUCUGCUGUUCUUAUGGGGAAUUCUUUGGAAGGUGCAGGAUUCACAGGAGGGGACGAGGGGAGGAGGUGCCGCCUUGAGGAGGGGGGUGGGGGGGGAGGUCACUGCCUCCCACCUUCCAAGAGACAAUCUGAGCUUCACCAACACGGUGAACACCAAAUUAUGCUUUUCUUAAAACAAAUACAGGGAGAAGGGGAGGGAUUAUUUCCCCUUUCUUAUUUUUUCAGAACCCAAGUUUUAUUCGGAACCAAGAUUCUCCUGACGCCCUUUAUAGCUCGCCUCCCUCUGGUACCAAAUCUGAGAUGCCAUUAAGUAAGCGUGUGCCGCAUGUGUUUCUUUUCCUUCUCUGAUACACUUUUCAGUUUCAUCCUUUUCGAAGGAAAAAUGCAAAGACGACCAUGGAUGCUUCCAAAGCAUGCAGGAAGCCUUCUGGGAGAGUUUAUCAAAGACUGUGGAAGGCUUUCCAGGCAUAUUUCUCUAAGCCUCAGGCUGCAAGGCGGAGAUGCCAUAUUUAUUAUUCUUAUUGCACGGAGGUGAAAUGAGAGCUUGAAAACAAAUGCUCACAUUCAAUGUGGGUGAUAAAAAAGAAAACUUUUUAAAAACAGGUUUAUUAAAAUUCAGAAACGGCAGAUGCCUUCAGCAAGUUUCAUCAGGGGAAUUCUGGUGAGUGAGCUUUCAUUUUCAGAGUUUUAAGCCACUGGAAUUUCCAGCUUCAAUUUCAGUAAAAAAAUGUAAAAUUUAUAUUUCUCAGUAUGAAAAGAGAACUUUUAGGAAGGUUGAUAUAUCUUAAAAAAUGGAAAAUAUGUAUUCAUUAAUUUUAGUAUUCUGCGUCAGAAGUUUUAAAAUUACUUUCAGCCAUCCAGACUCAGUAAUUUUUUCCAUAAAAGAAAAAUAAAAGAUCUCAUUUUUUUUCUUC